GCUUCUGUGGCGCAAUUGGUUAGCGCGUCUGACUGUUAAUCAGGAGGUUGGUGGUUCAAGCCCACCCAGGAGCG
rfam:Mortierella elongata AG-77 unplaced genomic scaffold K457scaffold_29, whole genome shotgun sequence.